rnacentral:rRNA from 1 species
GUAGCGGAGCAUGUGGUUUAAUUCGAAGCAACGCGAAGAACCUUACCUAAGCUUGACAUCCCACUGACCUCUCCCUAAUCGGAGAUUUCCCUUCGGGGACAGUGGUGACAGGUGGUGCAUGGUUGUCGUCAGCUCGUGUCGUGAGAUGUUGGGUUAAGUCCCGCAACGAGCGCAACCCUUGAUCUUAGUUGCCAUCAUUUAGUUGGGCACUCUAAGGUGACUGCCGGUGACAACUCGGAGGAAGGUGGGGAUGACGUCAAAUCAUCAUGCCCCUUAUGCUUAGGGCUACACACGUGCUACAAUGGACGAUACAAACGGUUGCCAACUCGCGAGAGGGAGCUAAUCCGAUAAAGUCGUUCUCAGUUCGGAUUGUAGGCUGCAACUCGCCUACAUGAAGCUGGAGUUACUAGUAAUCGCAGAUCAGCAUGCCGCGGUGAAUGCGUUCCCGGGUCUUGUACACACCGCCCGUCACACCAUGGAAGUUGGGGGCGCCCGAAGCCGGUUAGCUAACCUUUUAGGAAGCGGCCGUCGAAGGUGAAACCAAUGACUGGGGUGAAGUCGUAACAAGGUAGCCGUAUCGGAAGGUGCGGCUGGAUCACCUCCUUUCUA